rnacentral:rRNA from 1 species
CUUUCUCCGCCGGCGACCGGCGCACGGGUGAGUAACACGUAUGCAACCUGCCCCUGUCAGGGGGACAACCGCCGAAAGGCGGGCUAAACCCGCGUACAUGCCACCGGGGCAUCCCGGAGGCAGGAAAGGCUUCGGCCGGACAGGGGUGGGCAUGCGGCGCAUUAGGCAGUAGGCGGGGUAACGGCCCACCUAACCGACGAUGCGUAGGGGUUCUGAGAGGAAGGUCCCCCACACUGGUACUGAGACACGGACCAGACUCCUACGGAAGGCAGCAG